GACCUCACGUUAUUCGAGCGGCCGACGUCUGAUUAGCUAGUUGGUGGGGUAAUGGCCUACCAAGGCGACGAUCAGUAGCGGGUCUGAGAGGAUGAUCCGCCACACUGGAACUGAGACACGGUCCAGACUCCUACGGGAGGCAGCAGUGGGGAAUUUUGGACAAUGGGGGCAACCCUGAUCCAGCCAUUCCGCGUGAGUGAAGAAGGCCUUCAGGUUGUAAAGCUCUUUCAGCUGGAACGAAACGGUGCGCUCUAACAUAGCGUGCUAAUGACGGUACCAGCAGAAGAAGCACCGGCUAACUACGUGCCAGCAGCCGCGGUAAUACGUAGGGUGCGAGCGUUAAUCGGAAUUACUGGGCGUAAAGCGUGCGCAGGCGGAUUGUUAAGCAAGAUGUGAAAUCCCCGGGCUUAACCUGGGAAUGGCAUUUUGAACUGGCAGUCUAGAGUGCGUCAGAGGGGGGUGGAAUUCCACGUGUAGCAGUGAAAUGCGUAGAGAUGUGGAGGAACACCAAUGGCGAAGGCAGCCCCCUGGGAUGACACUGACGCUCAUGUACGAAAGCGUGGGUAGCAAACAGGAUUAGAUACCCUGGUAGUCCACGCCCUAAACGAUGUCAACUGGUUGUUGGGGGAGUGAAAUCCCUUAGUAACGAAGCUAACGCGUGAAGUUGACCGCCUGGGGAGUACGGUCGCAAGAUUAAAACUCAAAGGAAUUGACGGGGACCCGCACAAGCGGUGGAUGAUGUGGAUUAAUUCGAUGCAACGCGAAAAACCUUACCUACCCUUGACAUGUCCAGAACCCUGCAGAGAUGCGGGGGUGCCCGAAAGGGAAUUGGAACACAGGUGCUGCAUGGCUGUCGUCAGCUCGUGUCGUGAGAUGUUGGGUUAAGUCCCGCAACGAGCGCAACCCUUAUCAUUAGUUGCUACGCAAGGGCACUCUAAUGAGACUGCCGGUGACAAACCGGAGGAAGGUGGGGAUGACGUCAAGUCCUCAUGGCCCUUAUGGGUAGGGCUUCACACGUCAUACAAUGGUCGGUACAGAGGGUUGCCAAGCCGCGAGGUGGAGCCAAUCCCAGAAAGCCGAUCGUAGUCCGGAUUGUUCUCUGCAACUCGAGAGCAUGAAGUCGGAAUCGCUAGUAAUCGCGGAUCAGCAUGUCGCGGUGAAUACGUUCCCGGGUCUU
rnacentral:rRNA from 1 species